rnacentral:rRNA from 1 species
AACGAACGCUGGCGGCGUGCCUAACACAUGCAAGUCGAACGUGAUUGGAAGCUUGCUUCCAUGAAAGUGGCGCACGGGUGAGUAACGCGUAGAUAAUCUGCCUGGUGAUCCGGGAUAACACUUCGAAAGGGGUGCUAAUACCUGAUAAGCCCACGGUAUCUUCGGACAUUGCGGGAAAAGGGGGGGACCUUCGGGCCUUCUGUCACCAGCUGAGUCUGCGUACCAUUAGCUAGUUGGUAGGGUAAAGGCCUACCAAGGCUACGAUGGUUAGCUGGUCUGAGAGGAUGAUCAGCCACACUGGAACUGAGACACGGUCCAGACUCCUACGGGAGGCAGCAGUGGGGAAUUUUGCGCAAUGGGGGAAACCCUGACGCAGCAACGCCGCGUGAGUGAUGAAGGCCCUUGGGUCGUAAAGCUCUGACAGAGGGAAAGAAAUGUGGGUGGCUAAUAUCCAUACCACUUGACGGUACCCUCAAAGGAAGCACCGGCUAACUCCGUGCCAGCAGCCGCCGUAAUAC